CAGGGCGCCGAGGAGUGACAGAGGGACGGGGAGCAGAGGGAUACCGCGGACGCUGCCCAGGCUGAACCUGCCCCGGGCGCCCGAGCCGCGUUGGCACCGAGUGUGCCCCCAGCAGGAGGCGCGGAAGAGCAGACCCCGCACGGCCCGCCCGCCGCCCCUCGUCCACCCGGACACCCUCUCAGGCCGCCCCACCGUGCCCCCGAGCCCGAGGCCUGGCGACGUCAGAGGCCUGUGACGCGCGCGCUCACGGUGGCGCGGGCGGAGGCGGCGGGGCGCGGGCUCCCUCGGGGAGGUCCCUGUCCAGGCCGCCCGCAGCCGCUGCGUCCUUGGCCCGCCUCCAGGGGAACCUGGGUUUUCCGAAUUCGGGAAGGCUGGCUGUCCUCCGGCUACUGAUAAGGACGGGCUCGAAGGGACACGGGGCGGAGAGAUUAGGUCACUCGCCCCAGGGCACACAGCUAGUUGACCUCUGUGCCAGAAUUCCAACGCAUGUUAUCUUCCUGGCCGCCCAUUAAGGUCACCUAGCUGGAAAAUGGACGAGGCAGAAAGCGAACCCAGAGCUCCUCUCUGUCCGCAGAACCCGCGGUCUUAGCCAUAGGCGAUGCCACAUCCAAACCACUUCCGACAGCCCAGCAGGCUUUGGCCCCAGGUCCCAAGAGGCGCAGCCCCUGCAGGUUUGAGUGGGUUCCUGCGGCCUCCAAUCCCCUGGUGAAUCGGGUGAUUCCGAGCAUCAUCCCUGCUCAGCCGGCCGGCGUAGUGUACGACGCGUCUCCGAGAACUCACUCCCGGAUGGGGCCGCGCGGUCCGGGGCAGGGAUGGAGCGGGGGCUGAGGCUGCGGGAGGGAUCCCGAGUCCCGCUUGCGGACAGCCGGGGUUUUGCCCCCGUGCGGUCGGCAGAGGGCGCUGCCGCACGCGCCUCGAGUCCCUGUCCCCAGCGCCGGGAAGGCUGACCUCCGCCUACUGUCGCCUACAGUGGCCAGGACUGAGCCCCGGAGCAGGAAGCUUUCCUUCCUGGGGGCCGGCACCCUUCUGUCCCCCCACCUAGGUCCGGGACCUGAUUUGUCUGACUGCUGUCCCUCAUCUUCUGUCCUCUUGCCACCCCACCAUCUGCCUUGCAGGUGUCCCCAGCCCCUGGACAGCAGAUUCAGUCCCUCCUGAGGACACUGGUCUCGUUCCAUGAAAAGACCCAGGCGUCUGCAAAUCUGAGUGGCCUUGUCUCCCCCUUCUGCUGCAAAUGACAGAAAACCCCAAUGUUUGAGUAGCAGCGGCUUACGCAUGUUAAUUUCCCUACCUGCCUGGCCCCUGCCUCGUGGCCCAAAGUGGCUGCUCAUAUCCACACUCAGAAAGCUGAAGGAGGAAGAAACAAAGAAGAGGGCAGCUUCUCUUUCAGCACACACUCCUCACAGUCCUACGUUGGAACCUGCCUACAGUGUGGCAGUGCAGCAGAAACAGCCCAAGACAGACACUUCCUGCAAUUCACAUGCAUCACUUCCACUUGCACCCCACUGGCCAGAACUAAGCCCUGUGGCCAUUGGGAAAUGUGACAUCUGUCUGAGUAGGAGCUCUAGUCCUAUAGCAAAAGAGAACAGAUAUUGGGGGACAGCUGGUAUCUCUGCCACAUAUCACAAACAUCUUUCCCGUAUACAUACAUUUGGGUUUGUUUGUUUGGUUGGUUGGUUGGUUUGGUUUUUUUGAGACAGGGUCUUGCUAUGUAGUUCAGUCUGGCUUUGAACUCACUAUGUAGUCCAGGCUGGCCUCGAACUCAUGGUGAUCCUCCUGCCUCAGCCUCCCGAGUGCUAGGAUUAUAGGCAUGUGAUACCACAGCCGGUUUAUCCAGUGUAUAUAAUUUUGUACCCUACUUUUUCCCCUUAUUUUUGGUGAAUAUUUCCCCAUAUUAUUAAAUAUCCUUAGAAAUUCUUAAAUUUUGGUGACUGCUUAAUAUUCCAUAGUAUGCAUGUAGUAUCCCUUAUAGAUACCAUGACUUAUUUAUUACUUGAUAUUUUGUUUUUUGUAGUGCUGGAGAUCAAACCCAUGAUUUCACACAAUUGCUUGAUAUCUGGGUAUUUCGUGUUGAUAAAUAAUCCUUUUUUAUGUUUAAAACUUGUCAGAGGAGCCAAUCAUGGGGGGCACACACAUAAUCCUAGCACUCUGGGAGACUGAAGCAGGAGGAUUGAAAUUGAGCCUAGUCUGGGCAACUUGGUAAUUAAGCAAGUCCCUGUCAUAAAAUAAAAGAUGAGAAAAGGAUGGGGAAGUAGCUCAGUGUGAAGGGCCUGGGUUCCAUCCCAAGUUCAAAUAAACCAAAAGAAAAUUCUCAAGAGGAGGAGACCCAAGCUUGCCUCUCUAUGCUGCGUGAGCCCACCAAAGCUAUUUCGUUCAGGCAUCCAGACGAUAUCUGUCUUAAAAGCUGCCUGAGGGGCUGAGUUUGUUCUUACUAACAAAAUGCAG
ensembl:lncRNA